AGAGGCGAAGCCGCGAGGCGGAGCAAAUCUCAAAAAGCCGUCCCAGUUCGGAUUGCAGGCUGCAACCCGCCUGCAUGAAGUUGGAAUCGCUAGUAAUCGCGGAUCAGCAUGCCGCGGUGAAUACGUUCCCGGGCCUUGUACACACCGCCCGUCACACCAUGAGAGUCGGGAACACCCAAAGUCCGUAGCCUAACCGCAAGGGGGGCGCGGCCGAAGGUGGGUUCGAUAAUUGGGGUGAAGUCGUAACAAGGUAUC
rnacentral:rRNA from 1 species